rnacentral:lncRNA from 1 species
UUGUCAUAUUAUUAUUGUUGUGGGUCAAUUUACAUAUUGUUUAAGCCUUGUGAAGUAUUCUUGUGGUGUCAUACAUCUUCAAGACAUUCUUGAAGGAUUGAUCAAAGGAGCAAUCUUCAUAAGGACUAAAGGACAAUCAUCAAAGGAGGUUCAACAAAUUCCACACAUGGAUUCAGGUUAGCUUCCGCUCAUGUAGUUUAAUUCCGAAUUGUUCAAUAUGAAGGUUGUUAUAUUUAGUUGGAAUCAUAAU